CCGGCCUCCCCGCGGACCAGGGGGACGCGGUCGCCAGCCGGUUGGGUGAUUAACUCACCGUUUGUCUCUUGGAAAGUGUUCCAGGUGGAUCAGGAACACCCACCCGCCCGCCGCUCCGCGCCGCGCCGCCUCCGGGAGACCGGAUCGAGCGUCACAUGGCGCGCGGGCCGAGCCGGCCUUUGUGCAGCGCGGCCGCCCCGCCGCCCCGGGGAGGCGGCGGCUAUUGUUUCCCGCGGGGGUGGGAGGUGCUCGGACUCGGGGUCCACGCCAGCCCCCUACCCAGUGUGUCCCCAGGUUCGAGGAUGGGUGGGGGCCUCCUUUGUGUGUUUUCUGCCGGCGGCGGAGAUGGCAUCGUUGCUGCCCCAAGAGUUAUUCUUCUUCCAUGAAAAUGACCCAGACUGGAUAUAGGAACCAGUCAAGAUAUUUUGCCACAAGACCUGGGACAAGAAGACUUCCAUUAUAUCUCCCACCAUGCUGAUCUCCUGGGGACCCUUCACCUGUUUCUGCUACUGCAAAUGACUGGACAUGCAUUUAUUUACCUUGGUUCUUCCUGCAUGUGUGGAAACCUUUUGUUCACUGUGCUUCAGGCUGGACCGGGCCUGAAAGUGGGUCUUUGAAUUGUCUUUGUACUUUCCUAACUUGCCAAGUUCUGAAAGAAGGAACAGAGUAAGGCCAAGAGUUGCCAGAUGAAGAGGACCUUCCUGGAUCUAACUGGGAUUAACCCAUUCUUGACUUCAGGAGGAAGUUUCAACUAAUUCUCAGGAUAAAGUCAAAACAGGCCUGUGACUGUCCCUUGAAUAUUCAUGGUGUAAACAAGCUUCUGGCUCCCCCAGGUCAAGCAGAGAAACACUUUUUAUUAGAAUGUUGGGUUUCUUCUUUGUUAUUCAAACAUACACCCACACACAUCCUCUUCACCCUCCCUAAUGAAAAACCUCAACAGAUGGGGAGCCUAGGCUCCCAAGCCUGCUGGCUGAGAAGAUCACUUCACUCAGGGUCAGUUGGCUGGUACAGAAUGGGGGGAGGGAGAAGGGACGAGUAGCUAGUAUAGUUAAUCACUAUUUUUUAAUACUCCUUACAGAUAGAAAUUCAAAAAUUCCUUUUCAGCAAGGUUAGCAGCCUCCGGGGCCUGGGAAACUAAUUUGGCUGAUGUGUCUCUGAUAGGGACUAGGCUUGGGUUGCUCCAAGGGGAAAGCACUUGCUCUAUAUUCUCUCCCCCUCUUAUCUGAACGCCUGUACAAAGAAAUGGUACAAAUGGAUGGUUAACUUAAUGAUUCCAUCAGAGGCGGAUUCUUCUCUGUCAGGUCGCUGGGUAAGGCUGAGGUCUGAAAGCCAGGAGGUAGAAUGUGUAGUCGCCCUUUCUUGCCACCUUUCCAGGGGCCAGGACUACUCUUCAGGCCUUUCCUCGGCCACUUCCCCACCCCCCUGGCUAGCGCAGUUGGGUCUUCUGACUCCACUCCAUGCUGGGUCCUGAGUUUCUCCUCGUAGCCAGGGCAGGCUCUCCCUCGGCCGAAAUCUUUUCCCACCCCACCUCCCAUUUUGCAGCUGGCCAUUCCAGCUACCUCACCUCAGCGCUGCUUUAAUUCACGUUUGACUGUCUCGACGGAACAACCAGGGGCUCCCGAAUGACCGCCACCCCCCAUCCGUGGGCCUGGGCUUGAGGCCCCGAGCCCUUUCUUCAGGUCCCAGGAGAUUCCCCCACAAACUCCCUGAUCCCACCUCCCUCAAAGCGGUCUGUGUAGGAAAAAGGCAGAGCUGGCCACGGCCACAGCCAGAGAGCCAUUUCCUCCCCUUGCGCAGGCGAGGUAAAGCCUCCUCGAGCCCAAAGCCCGGAGAGAGGCCGGCCCCUCACCACCUGCCGGUGUCGGCCCCCGCGCCGCCUUUGUGCGGCCUCCCCGCCGCGGGGCCCGUGGGAAGCCGCGCGCACAAUGGCGCCGCCGCUCCCGGAAGACCCGCUGCUCCGGGCGCCCUGGACCCAGCGCCCGGUAGCGAGGGGCCAGCAGCCUCGAGGCCGUGGUGAGCUCCCCACGGCCCCCCGCGCGCCGCUCCCGGGAAGAAGCCUCGGUCUGGGAUGGCGGUUUCCUUCCGCUGCAAAUUUCCCUCUUCCCGCUGCAGUCCUCUCCGGGAGAAGGAGAGGCCUGGACCCGGAGCGCCAGGCCGGGCCCAGGGCUCCCCUCCCCCACUCUUCUUUCUCUGCUGUUCCGAGACCCGGGAGGGAGGAGGCGGGCGCCUUCGCCGAUAGAGCAGCUAUUGUGACCUUCCCUCGCAGAGCGGGAAGCCAGCCGGGUGUGUACCGCCGGCGGUGGCGGGGGAGGAGGCGACUGUGUGCAAACUUCGGGGUGCGGAGGGGGUGGCACUGGGAAAUAAAGGUUUGCAACCUCGGGCAUUGGAGCCCUUCA